rnacentral:lncRNA from 10 species
UCUUCAGAGAAUUUAAGGUUCUAGCAAAAGUUGUAUAACAAUGUAUAAUGCUGUCCAUCUGUACAAUUGUAAUUUCUUUUCUGAUCAACUCUAUACCUUGCGUUUAAGGUUAGAGAAUACUGGUGGCUGAAAUGUUGCAGGACUGAGGGUUUUUAGGGUGGGGUUAGUGGAAGGACCAGAAGAUAAGGCAUUUGACAGCUUGGGUAAGAGGACUUGAGGUGAUAGAAUAUGGUGGUUCAAGGCCGGAUGCAGUGGCUCACGCCCAUAAUCCCAGCACUUUGGGAGGCCAAGGCGGGCAGAUCUCUUAAGAUCAGGAGUUUGAGACCAGCCUGGACAACAUAGUGAAACCCUGUCUCUACUAAAUAAACAAAAAUUAGCCAGGCGUGGUGACUGGUGACACACACCUGUGGUCCCAGAAACUCAGGAGGCUAAGGCAGGAGGAUUGCUUGAACCUGGGAGGCGGAGGUUGCAGUGAGCCAAGAUCACACCACUGCACUUCAGCCUGGGUGACAGAGCAAGGUCUCCAAGAAAAAAAAAAGUGUGCAUGUGGUAUUGGUAUUGUGUGUGCGCACACACACACACACACACGGUGGCUCUGGGAAGGGAGGAAAGGAUUCGAGGCUUAGACGUAGAUAACAGACUUGGAGAACAGGCAAGGGUUAAAGGUGCUAGAAGUCUUGAUGUGGUGAAAAAGCCUGUGGAGUGCAGCACUGGAGAACAAGCGAGCUGUGUGGUGGAUUCAUCGGAGAGGAGGUGUUGGAAUUGGAAUAGUUCCAGAUGAUGCUGAGGUGUGGCCAUGAGGACAAGUUGCUGAAAUCAAAUAGAAGUGAAGGUUGCUGGCGUUGAAGAGAUAGGGAAAGGUGAGGACAGGAUGUUGACUAAGUUACUCACCUGGAUGGACGUGGGAGGGCCAGACUGUAAGCCAGGUUUCACAGAGUAACCAGGAGGCCAGGAGAUGAUAAUAAUAAGAUGGGGACCACCUGAACCAGAAGAGGGUGCACAUACAUGCAUGAGGCUGGAAGAGUAAAGGUCUGGGUGUGGCAGUGCAGCAUGGGAAAACAUGGACACCCAUUUCAGAGGCUGUAUGUGGGAAAAGGAGCAUCCUCUUCCUAAAUGGGCUGGGGAAGGCAGUCCUUAGGAGAGACAGUUACAUGCAAGGGAGUGGCGAAGGGGGGUGUCCCACAGCCUUCUUGAAAGAGGGCACAGCAGUUUGUUUAAAAUAGCUGUUUUUCAGGGAAGAAGGAAGAGUUAAGAGGAAGAAAGUAGAGCAUGUUUUGGGACUGAGCUUGCAUGAGAAGACGGGUGCCCUAAGGUGCUUUCCUGUGGGGUAGUAGCUGGGAGUGACUGGGGGAGAGGUGUGGUGCACUCAAUUGGUUUGGAGGUUUCCUGCAGACAGGCUGAGAUUCCACAUGGAGUCAGGGACAUAGAGAAGAGCAGCAGCCAGCUCAACUGCAGGCUGAAUCUUUGUUCAGGGGUCUGGUGGGAUGUCGGCAAGCUCUGAGGAAGGGAUGAGCCUGCAGACUGGCUACGGUAGGGAAAGGAAGCACUUCAGGAAGAAUGUGUUGAGGAGGGGGUGGUGAGGGAGAAGACUCACUUUCUCAGAGAAUACUUCUCUCUUGAUGGAAAUCACAUGUGUAUGUGGUGGAGUGGUGGCCUCAAUCUUCAUCUAGUCAAAUUAGAGCUUGGGCUUAAUCUUGGAAAGAAGGAAGAUCAAAUAUUUCUCCUUUCAGCUAUUCAAGACAUAAUUAAGAGAAGUAAUUUAUGUCUGAUAACCCUUUUACUUUUGCAAAAAGCACCUACCGUGUUGUUUGUGUGAGAUACUAGUAUUGUUCAUGUGAGAAAAAUAUAAUGUGAAACAAAU